rnacentral:lncRNA from 1 species
GUGACGUUCCCUACGCGGUCGGGCGUUGGGUUUCGCGGCGCUCGCCGCACUGGUUGUUCAGCACCUUCGGUCCGGUUGAGGUUGUCAAGUCGGACCAAACAGGUUGUUUCUCUGCAGUUUCCAACAUGGCAGGGAGGUUUAAUAGACAUGGAUAAGAAGUCCACUCACAGAAAUCCUGAAGAUGCCAGGGCUGGCAAAUAUGAAGGUAAACACAAACGAAAGAAAAGAAGAAAGCAAAACCAAAACCAGCACCGAUCCCGACAUAGAUCAGUGACGUCUUUUUCUUCAGAUGAUCCUAUGUUUCCUUCUUCCUCAUCAUCGUCUUCAGGAAGCCAGACAGAUUCAAGUAUUGAAGAUGCUGCCAAGGGAAAAAUUAAGAAGAAGAGAAGAGAGAAAACAAAUAAAUGGGAAAAAAGAAAGUUACAGAGAUUGCAUUCUGUCCUGGUAUGGAAACCUCAGCAGAGAUGAGGGACAACUUUACCAUGUGCUCUUGGAAGACUUUUGGGAAAUUGCCAGACAGCUGCACCACAGACUGAGUCACGUGGAUGUGGUUAAAGUUGUCUGCAAUGAUGUUGUGAGGACUUUACUCACUCAUUUCUGUGACCUGAAAGGUGCUAAUGCCAGACAUGAACAGCCAAGACCUUUUGUGUUGCACGUAUGCUUGAGGAACUCAGAUGAUGAAGUAAGAUUUCUACAAACGUGUUCUCGGGUUCUGGUGUUUUGUCUCCUCCCCUCAAAGGAUGUGCAGUCUCUCAGUUUACCUAUAAUGCUUGCAGAAAUUCUCACAACAAAAGUCCUGAAGCCGGUAGUGGAGUUACUGAGUAAUCCAGAUUACAUUAACCAAAUGCUGCUUGCCCAGCUGGAGUACAGAGAGCAGAUGAAUGAACAUCACAAGAGAGCCUACACCUAUAGCCCCUCUUAUGAGGACUUCAUCAAGCUCAUUAACAGCAACUCUGAUGUGGAGUUCUUGAAGCAACUAAGGUCUGUUGAAGGAACGGUAGAGAAGAGUGGUAGAAGAUGUGUGCUGGUCGUUUUCAACAACUGACUUUUGGGCAAGGUAUCAAAUUGUAGUGGAAAUAAUCCAAGCGACUACAAUUAGCAGCUUUCCCCAACUGAAGAGGCACAAAGGUAAAGAAACUGCGGCAAUGAGGGCUAGGAACAUGAAGAGGUACAUCAACCAACUGACUGUGGCAAAGAAGCAGUGUGAGAAGAGAAUCCGAAUCCUGGGAGGCCCUGCCUAUGACCA